AGAUAAAUGUGAGAAGGGAGGGAUAGACAGUAGAAACAAAAGUGAAACUGUUUGCGCAGCAUAUUUCAGAAGUCUUGAGGUCUUUUGAGUGUAGCCUUCAUUGAUUUGAGAUCUACCAUACCAUCUCUCACCAGAAGGGAAAACGUAUAAUGGCAGCAGGCGGUAACAGAGACCCAGUUUGGGAAUAUUUUAAUGAAGUUCCUCAACCUGUGCAAAAUGCAUGCGUGCAAAAUACAAACAGUGCAACAAAGAAAUGCAAGGCCUGGUUGCCUGAAUGAAACAUCUUGAGAAGUGUUCCUUCUCAGGAGGAAGCUGCAUUGAAGAUGAUGAAAGGAACAUGUCAGAACAUGCAGGAUCUUUAGGAGACUCCAUCCUCAACAUACGGGAUUCUGAAGACUAUCCACCUUCAAGAUCACCAUCGUUUUCUAUAGUUUCAGAGUUACCUGCCAAUGAUAGUAUUUCAAUCACAUCAUGUAUGUCACAUAGCCACA